UGCUGAACUGGAAAGGAAGAAAUGUUAUUUUUUCCAGGAUGAAAGCAAAACAAGAUCUCUCCCUGUUUAUCCUGUCUCACCCUUUUCUAAAGAAGGGCUUUUAGGAGAGCAGUACUACCAGUGACCUAUGGGAACAAGAAGACUAUCUGGAGGUAUUUAUCAGUCCAAGUGGGAAGCGUGUGAAAUACCCUGACAGCUGUGCCUCACUCACCUAAGGGAUGUUUUUCCAGAAUGCUCACAAAGACACAUCACAGCCUGGGGGUGCCUACCUUCCAAGCCCAGUGGUUUGGUGUGCAGAAAUGCUGAGCUCCCAGUCUCAGCUGAGACAGGCAGAGAGAUGCUUCAGUGAUUCACACCCUCGUGUCGUGCAAGCACUGGAGAGUUUCAAAGGGUAUAGCAUGAUGUCUGGAAAGAUGAAGUUCAGAGACUUCAAGAAGUGAUGAAUUCGUCAUACGCCCUCAGGACUUAUUUCAAUGCUUAAUUAAUUGCUGUUAAGAUGUGCACCUUAUUGCUAGCUGAAACAUGGUUAUCUUCAGCCUCCAGCCAUGGGAUCUUGUUAUGUGUUGCCUGGUAGA